GCGGGUCUACCAAAUUAUACAAUGACAUUUUAUAUUUAUAAUCUAAAUAAACUGAUAAUGAUUAUGGUUAAUUAUUAGAUGCUAUUUAUAUUUUAUUAUUCAUUCGUAAUAUUCGUAAUAUUUCUUAUUGAAUUAUUCUUGUUUACACGGAGUACGGACAUCGGACGGUAAACACUAAUUCGUAACUAGUUCGUCUCCAUUCUCCAUCAGCAUUCAGCACAUGUGGAUUUUAAUAAUUAUACCAAAUAAUAUAUUAUACAGAUUACAAAAAUACAAAACAACGAAAUAUUAAGUACCAACUACCAAGUAUUCAAUAUGAGUGAGGUAUGGCAAGUAUUUAGUAAAGACGAUGUUGGUCUUAAAGUGAAAUGCUCAAUAUGUAAAAAGAAAUAUGCAAAUCCAGGAUCAAGUACAACGAACAUGUGGAACCAUUUAAAAUUUAAACACAAGCUAAAAAUGUAUUGAACUUGAUCGAAUUCAAAUGGGAUUAUCAGGAAGUGCAUUUAAUCAAGACAUUUCCAAUGUUUCCAUAGACGAAGAUGAGUAAGUAAACACUUAUAAGCUCUAAUAUAUAUCAUGAUUCAAUAUAGUAAAAUAUUAGUUCAAUAUAAAUUUGAUUUAAAAUA